rnacentral:rRNA from 1 species
AGGAUUCGACUAAGCCAUGCAAGUCAAGGGGCCUUCGGGCACCGGCAGAAUGCUGAGUAACACGUCAAUAAUCUGCCCUUAGCUCUGGGAUAACGUCGGGAAACUGACACUAACACCGGAUAGGAGAGGAAUACUGGAAUGUCUUUUCUUUGAAAGAUUACGGCUAAGGAUGAGUUGGCGGCUGAUUAGUUUGUUGGUGGGGUAAAGGCCCACCAAGGCUACGAUCAGUAUGGGCCUUGAGAGAGGUAGCCCACAGAGGGGUACUGAGACACUGACCCCAGCCCUACGGGGUGCAGCAGGCGCGAAACCUUUACAAUGCACGAAAGUGUGAUAAGGGAAUCCUAAGUGCUUAGGCAUUAGUCUAGGCUUUUUUCAACAGUAAAUAUGUUGGAGAAUAAGUGGUGGGUAAGACGGGUGCGAGCCGCCGCGGUAACACCUGCGCCACGAGUGGGAGCCAGUUUUAUUGGGUCUAAAGCGUCCGUAGCCGGUCUAGUAAAUCCUUUGUGAAAUCGUACAGCUUAACUGUACGGCGUGCAGGGGAGACUGCUAGACUUGGGACCGGGAGGAGCUAGGGGUAUUCUGGGGGGAGCGGUAAAAUGUUAUAAUCCUCGGAAGACCAACGGUGGCGAAGGCGCCUAGCUAGAACGGAUCCGACGGUGAGGGACGAAAGCCAGGGGAGCAAACAGGAUUAGAUACCCUAGUAGUCCUGGCUGUAAACUCUGUGUGCUAGAUGUUGCGUAACCUUGUGGUUUCGCAGUGUCGUAGAGAAGUCGUUUAGCACACCACCUGGGAAGUACGGUCGCAAGGCUGAAACUUAAAGGAAUUGGCGGGGGAGCACUACAAGAGGUGCGGCGUGCGGUUCAAUCUAACUCAACGCAGAGAAUCUCACUAGAAGCGAUGGCUCUAUGAUGACCAAGUUGAAGGCUUUGUCGGAGUCGCCAAGAGGUGGUGCAUGGCCGUCGUCAGCUCGUGUCGUGAGAUGUCCAUUUAAGUAUGGCAACGAGCGAGACCUGUAUCUUCAAUUGCCAGCAAGUUCAUCAGAAUGAUUGGGCACAUUGAAGAGACUGCAUGGGUAACCAUGAGGAAGGUGCAGGCUACGGUAGGUCUGUAUGCCCCGAAUCUUCUAGGCUACACGCGCGCAACAAUGACAGGAACAAUGGGCUGCAACCCUGAGAAGGGAAGCUAAUCCUCGAAAUCCUGCCUUAGUUUAGAUUGAGGAUUGUAACUCAUCCUCAUGACACCGGAAUCUCUAGUAAUCGGACGUUAGCAUCGUCCGGUGAAUAUGUCCCUGCUCCUUGCACACACCGCCCGUCAAACCAACCGAGCAGGUUCUAGGUGAGGCGCACCUUUUAGGUAUGUCGAAUCUAGGAUCAGUGAGGUGGGUUAAGUCGUCACAAGGUA